CAGAAUGAACGUUGGCGGCAUGGAUUAGGCAUGCAAGUCGCGCGACAAGCCACUUUUAGCUUGCUAUUUUUGGGGGAGGAGCGGCGAAAGGGAGAGUAACGCGUGGAUUACCUACCUUCAGGGGCGGAAUAGCGGCGGGAAACUGCCGGUAAUGCCGCAUAAUAUCUCCGGAUCAAAGCUCCGGCGCCUGAAGACGGGUCCGCGUACCAUUAGCUAGUUGGGGGGGUAAAAGCUUACCAAGGCUGAGAUGGUUAGUGGGCGUGAGAGCGUGGCCCACCUCACUGGGACUGAGACACUGCCCAGACACCUACGGGGGGCUGCAGUCGAGAAUCUUUUUCAAUGGGCGAAAGCCUGAACAAGCGAUGCCGCGUGCGGGAUGAAGGCCUUCGGGUUUUAAACCGCUGUCAGAGGGGAGCAAAUUUUGAGCGAUCCUCAGAGGAAGCCCGGGCUAAGUUCGUGCCAGCAGCCGCGGUAACACAAACCGGGCAAACGUUAUUCGGAAUUACUGGGCUUAAAGGGGGCGUAGGCGGCGCUAUAAGUCGGGGGUGAAAUCCCACGGCUCAACCGUGGAACUGCGCCCGAAACUGUAGUGCUUGAGGAAGAUAGAGGGGAGCGGAACGAAUGGUGGAGCGGGGAAAUGCGUUGAUAUCAUUCGGAACACCCGUGGCGAAAGCGGCUCACUGGGUCUUUUUUGACGCUGAGGCACGAAAGCUAGGGGAGCGAACGGGAUUAGAUACCCCGGUAGUCCUAGCUGUAAAA
rnacentral:rRNA from 1 species